rnacentral:rRNA from 1 species
CUACGGGGGGCAGCAGUGAGGAAUAUCGCACAAUGGGGGGAACCCUGAUGCAGCAACGCCGCGUGGAGGAUGACGCAUUUCGGUGUGUAAACUCCUUUUAUAUGUCAAGAAAAUGACGGUAGCAUAUGAAUAAGCACCGGCUAACUCCGUGCCAGCAGCCGCGGUAAUACGGAGGGUGCAAGCGUUACUCGGAAUCACUGGGCGUAAAGAACGCGUAGGCGGGUUGGAAAGUCAGGUGUGAAAUCCUACAGCUUAACUGUAGAACUGCACUUGAAACUUCUAAUCUAGAGUAUGGGAGGGGGAGAUGGAAUUAGUGGUGUAGGGGUAAAAUCCGUAGAUAUCACUAGGAAUACCUAAAGCGAAGGCGAUCUCCUGGAACAUUACUGACGCUAAGGCGUGAAAGCGUGGGGAGCAAACAGGAUUAGAUACCCGGGUAGUC